UCCUCUGUGAGUUUCGCUCUUCGUUUUCAUCUCUCAUUCGCAUUUCAUUUCUCGUUGCGAGCGGACGUGUUUGAUUGUUGCUGCGUUCAGUUUAGAAUCUAGUGAACUGCGACUCCUAAGUGAAAUUCACUCCAAUUGUAAAUUGUGCCAAAAAUCCAAAUUGUAAAUCACAUAUGAAAAUAUAAAUGAAUGAGUAAAAACCACACUAAACAAAUGCAACAAAUGCGACGUCAAAUCAAAUACAGUGUUAAUUAAUAUAAUAAUAAAAAGUGCAAGAAGAAAAAGAAGCAAGCGUGACUACCCUUGUUUACAUAGUGUAGACUACCCCCUGAAAGAAGCAACACACACACUUUGUUGGUGUCAAUUAUACGGGGCAGCUGUGCAUAUAAUUUGCGACGCGACUGUAAACACAAAAAGCCGUCAAACUGUGGGGCUCCGGGGCAUUUUUUCUUCCUCCGCACGGAAUGUAUUAUCCGGUACGUUCAUUCAAAUGCAAAUGCAAAUGCUUGGGUUAUUUGGUAAUGUUUGUGAUUGAUAAGGAAGUUGAUAAAUGGCUGAAUGCGUGAGAGUGUG